CCUACGGGUGGCAGCAGUGGGGAAUAUUGGACAAUGGGGGAAACCCUGAUCCAGCGACGCCGCGUGGGUGAUGAAGGCUUUCGGGUCGUAAAGCCCUGUCAGGAGGAAAGAACACUCCCAUGGUAAAUACCCAUGGGAAAUGACGGUACCUCCAAAGGAAGCACCGGCCAACUCCGUGCCAGCAGCCGCGGUAAGACGGAGGGUGCAAGCGUUGCUCGGAAUCACUGGGCGUAAAGGGUGCGUAGGCGGCCUCUUAAGUCUGGCGUGAAAGCCCAGGGCUCAGCCCUGGAAGUGCGCUAGAAACUGGGAGGCUUGAGUAUCGGAUGGGAGAGUGGAAUUCCUGGUGUAGCGGUGAAAUGCGUAGAUAUCAGGAGGAAUACCGGUGGCGAAGGCGACUCUCUGGACGAUAACUGACGCUGAGGCACGAAAGCGUGGGGAGCAAACAGGAUUAGAUACCCUGG
rnacentral:rRNA from 1 species